CUACGGGGGGCUGCAGUGGGGAAUAUUGGACAAUGGGGGCAACCCUGAUCCAGCCAUGCCGCGUGUGUGAAGAAGGCCUUUUGGUUGUAAAGCACUUUAAGCAGUGAAGAAGACCAUAUGGUUAAUACCCAUAUGCGAUGACAUUAGCUGCAGAGUAAGCACCGGCUAACUCUGUGCCAGCAGCCGCGGUAAUACAGAGGGUGCAAGCGUUAAUCGGAAUUACUGGGCGUAAAGCGAGCGUAGGUGGCUUGAUAAGUCAGAUGUGAAAUCCCCGGGCUUAACCUGGGAACUGCAUCUGAUACUGUUAAGCUAGAGUAGGUGAGAGGGAAGUAGAAUUCCAGGUGUAGCGGUGAAAUGCGUAGAGAUCUGGAGGAAUACCGAAGGCGAAGGCAGCUUCCUGGCAUCAUACUGACACUGAGGUUCGAAAGCGUGGGUAGCAAACAGGAUUAGAUACCCGCGUAGUC
rnacentral:rRNA from 1 species